rnacentral:rRNA from 1 species
AUUGAACGCUGGCGGCAGGCCUAACACAUGCAAGUCGAACGAGUGGCGGACGGGUGAGUAAUGUCUGGGAAACUGCCUGAUGGAGGGGGAUCACUACUGGAAACGGUAGCUAAUACCGCAUACCAUCAGAUGUGCCCAGAUGGGAUUAGCUAGUAGGUGGGGUAACGGCUCACCUAGGCGACGAUCCCUAGCUGGUCUGAGAGGAUGACCAGCCCCGCUGGAACUGAGACACGGUCCAGACUCCUACGGGAGGCAGCGUUGGGGAAUAUUGCACAAUGGGCGCAAGCCUGAGGCAGCCAUGCCGCGUGUAUGAAGAAGGCCUGCGGGUUGUAAAGUACUUUCAGCGGGGAGGCGUUACCCGCAGAAGAAGCACCGGCUAACGCCGUGCCAGCAGCCGCGGUAAUAC